GGAUUUACUAGCCUUUGGAUGGGAGAGGGGAUUUAACGUUCAACUUUCAUCUGAGAUGCCGUUAACCGGUUCUUAAGUGAGGUGGCAAAUUUUUGACCUUUGAUUUUUUUUAAGUCAAUCACAGCCGUAAACCGAUUCCUUGCUUCAUAUGUACCCUUAUCCACAUAUAUAACACACUCAGAACUCAGAAGCCACAAGCCAGAAGUGAGACUAGCAAUGGCUGCGGCAGUAGUGGCGGACAGUAGAUGGAGCAUGGCAUCUCUAAGGUCGGCACUUCCUUCAGUGGCAGUGUUUCCCCAUACUCCCCCUUCCUUUCGGAUACCGGUUGCUGCAUUCCAAUCAUCACCACCAUCAUCAUCUCUCAGCCUCUCCCGUCGUCCCAGAACCCAGCAGCUUGGGGUUCCUUACACGGGUCUCUCUCCCCUAAAUCCUCUCCUCUCAAUUGGCUCCUCGGAGUACACAGGUUUUGAAUAUCAUUUCACCAUUAUUGAUAAUGGGGGCCGGUUUUUUGCCAUGAGACAUGGCAGGCGAGUGCCCAAACUUAACAGGCCUCCCGACCAACGACGGGCGCUCCUGCGAGGCCUCACCACUCAGCUCCUUAAACAUGGUCGGAUCAAAACCACUAGGGCAAGGGCAAGUGCCAUGAGGAAGUUUGUUGACAAGAUGAUCACACUGGCUAAGGAAGGGUCUCUUCAUAAGAGGAGACAGGCUCUGGGCUUUAUCUACGAAAAACAGAUUGUGCAUGCCUUAUUUGCGGAGGUUCCAGAUAGGUAUGGGGAUAGAAAUGGCGGUUAUACAAGAAUCAUCAGAACGCUCCCAAGGCGAGGGGAUAAUGCGCCCAUGGCAUAUAUCGAACUUGUUUAGUGUGCGGCGAAAAAGGGAUUCAUGCGUACUGCAUUAAGGUGUCCUUUUGUGAUGGUUUAAUGGUGUCAGAUGGUGUGUGCUUUCAUUUAUAAAUGAGAAGAACAAGAUGAAGACAUAAAAAGGGUUUGAAUUAAUCUUCAACCCUCGUAGGGAAAGCAGGAAGCCAAAACAUAUUAUCAAAGACCAGAAUGAUAUAUAGCUUUUGAGUUAUCAAUUGCAAAAUGCAUGUCGUCAAAUUGGUGAUCCUCGGGAAAUGGCAAUGAAGAGUCGUGGGAAUGCCACUGUGGUAUGAGAACAUAUCUAAGGACUUUAUGGACAGAGAAAAAUCCAAGAAGACGGUUCUUCGGAUGCGCAUCUAUUGCACUUUUGUUUGCUUUUGUGUUCGUUUUAGAUCACGUUCUAUGUAAUCAGCUGUAAUUUUAUUUUUUGGACCUUAAGGAUGUAGAAUUGGGUAUCUUCAAAAUUGUUUCUUGUUAUGUGAGUUUGUAAUUUCGGAAAUUUAAGACAAAUGGAGAUAGAACUCUGGAUCUCAUUUUAAUUGAUGGUACAUGGAGCAAUUCCAAUGCAA